rnacentral:misc_RNA from 1 species
GAUGAAGAACGUAGCGAAAUGCGUUACGUAAUGUGAAUUGCAGAAUUCAGUGAAUCAUCGAGUCUUUGAACGCACAUUGCGCCCUCUGGUAUUCCGGAGGGCAUGCCUGUCCGAGCGUCAUUGCUGCCCUCAAGCACGGCUUGUGUGUUGGGCUCCGUCCCCCGAUCCCGGGGGACGGGCCCGAAAGGCAGCGGCGGCACCGCGUCCGGUCCUCGAGCGUAUGGGGCUUUGUCACCCGCUCUGUAGGCCCGGCCGGCGCUUGCCGAUCAACCAAAUUUUUAUCCAGGUUGACCUCGGAUCAGGUAGGGAUACCCGCUGAACUUAAGCAUAUCAAUAAGCGGAGGA